AAUUAAUGGUGAUUAUGAUGUUGUUGUUGUUGAUGAAUGAUGAUGGAAAGAGUAAAGAAUUUUCCAUUUACUGAUGAUGGUCGAGGUUUCUGAAUUUUUCUGGAAAAAUGAUGAAGAUACUGAUGGUGUUGAUGAAUGUGAUGUUGAAGAUGAUGAACAAGAUUGAUGAAGAAGAUGAAGAAAGAUCAAAGGGUUGAGAUUAAAUAAUUAAUAUGAUCUAUGGUGGACCACUCUUAAGGUUGGUCCACCAUAACAUUUUGGGGGGUUAAAGUUAACUGUCAGGAUUUAUUUGACUGACGGAGACAAACAUGAAGGACCAAAACAUGAGUUUUAUUAGUUAUGAGACCAAAAUGAAAACUUGAAAUUAAUUCGGGGACCAAAUGACCUAUUAAGCCUACUUUUUUAAGGAUAUUUAUGAAUUUGUAU
rnacentral:lncRNA from 1 species